GACGAACGCUGGCGGCGUGCCUAAUACAUGCAAGUCGAACGAGAGCGCCCGGUGCUUGCACUGGUCAAUCUAGUGGCGAACGGGUGAGUAACACGUGGGUAACCUGCCCAUCAGAGGGGGAUAACAUUCGGAAACGGAUGCUAAAACCGCAUAGGUCUUCGAACCGCAUGGUUUGAAGAGGAAAAGAGGCGCAAGCUUCUGCUGAUGGAUGGACCCGCGGUGCAUUAGCUAGUUGGUGAGGUAACGGCUCACCAAGGCCGUGAUGCAUAGCCGACCUGAGAGGGUGAUCGGCCACAUUGAGACUGAGACACGGCCCAAACUCCUACGGGAGGCAGCAGUAGGGAAUCUUCCGCAAUGGACGCAAGUCUGACGGAGCAACGCCGCGUGAGUGAAGAAGGUUUUCGGAUCGUAAAACUCUGUUGUUAGAGAAGAACAAGUGCUAGAGUAACUGUUAGCGCCUUGACGGUAUCUAACCAGAAAGCCACGGCUAACUACGUG
rnacentral:rRNA from 1 species